CCUCGGCUCCUGCUCCAGCGGCAUAUGUGAUUCACCAACAAGGAGGGACGCCAAUAAGGCAUCCGAUAAGAUAAGUCUUAUAAAAUAUAUAGCUGUAUGGUAAUUGAGACUGAGCUAACAAAUGAGAAUCCUAGUCAUUGGCCAAACAGCUUUGUAACUAAUACAAGUCUCUCUGUGUAUUCAUUUGGGCCUAACUUGGGCGGGCGGCUGGCGUAAAGCUCACACGUGGCGGUGGGGCUCAGGCGGCUUUUGGCAAAAAGAUUUAUCGUAACACUGAUCCAUGGGCAUGGGAGAUCUCUCCAUUUUCUGAUAUCUUCUCCAUAUUAUUUCUUCAAAGACUUGAAGUUCUCAUCAUAUAGGUAUUUUACUUGCUUAGUUAGAGUUACACCAACAUAUUUUAUAUUAUUUGAGGCUACUGUAAAACGUCUUGAUUCUCUGAUUUCUUUCUCAGCUGGUUAUCAUUUAUGUAUAGGAAGGAUACCGAUUUUUUUUUUUUAGUUAAUCUUGUAUCCAAUCACUGACUAAAGGUGUUUAUCAGGUAUAGUAGUGAUGGAGAAUGUACUGUGUAUGUUCAUUUUAUUGAUUAUUGAAUAAAGUACUUGUUUGGCCAAUGAGACAGCAAGUUAGAUGAGACUAGGAGUCAAAGAGGAUUCUAGGAAAUGUAGUAGAGAAGUGGUGUUCCAGGCAGGAAGUGAUAUAGCAAGGAGACUCAUAUUUAAGAAAGGAGAAACAGGAAGUAUCCCUUUUCCCCUCCGCUCCUACUCCAGUGGUGCAAUGUGAUCCACCAGCAAGGGCGAGGCCAGCAGAAGGCAUCCUCUAUAAGAUAAGUCUUAUAAAAUAUAUAGAUUUAUGAUAAUUAAGACUGAGCUAACAGAUGAAAAAUCCUAGUCAUUGGCCAAGCAGCAUUUAAACCCAAUACAAGUUUCUGUGUAUUAAUUUGGGCCCUAACUCGGGCGGAUGGCUGGCAUAAAGUGCACACAUGGCGGUGGGGCUCAGUGGCUUUUGGUGGAAAGAUUUAUCGUAACAUAGUAGUUCCCUGAUAGAGAUAUUGGGGUUGUUUAUAUAUACUAUCAUAUCCAUAUUAUCUGCAAAUAAUAAUACUUUGAUUUCUUCCUUUCCAAUUUGUAUUCCCUUGAUACUUAAAUUCUACCAGGUAAGUUAAAGUCAUGUGUUCUCAUGAAUAUUUGGAUCCUUGGAUCAAGUCUAUAGCCAUAGCUCUGUGAAUAUUUCUGAUCAUGUAUGGAUUCUAGGGUUGAAUAUUAAGACUUGUGUGUUUAACAUGGAGUAUAUGUAGAAUCCAGGAAACUAGAAAAGGGCCAUUGGAGAGGUAAGAAAGAUCUUAAGAGGAGGGGAUAAUGGAAAACAGGUGAGUUGGGGAUGUUUGAGAUUCUAAGAUACUAGAAUAUCACUGAAGAAAGCUAUCUAUUGGUAAGAAGUAGAAUCCCAAAGCAGGGCUGUGUGUGUUGUAGGCAGCACAACUGGAGAGACAGGUCUACCCAAGCUUUUGAAAUUCAGAUGCUGCCUGACAGAUCUACAGGACUUGGUGUUUACCCUACUGGACUUUGAUCUUGGUUUGGUCUGAUCUCACUAUGUUUUCUUCUCUUGUGAAAUGGGAAUAUUUAUUGUAUGCCACUGUAAUGUUGGACUAUGUAACUCAUAUUUUUAUGUUCAAGGGGGCUCAAAGUUUUAAGAGCCUGCAGAGUUUCAGAAGAUUUAUUCACACUUUUGAACACUGUAGGAAGUUUUAAAAUUAUGGAGAUUGUUGAAGUUGGGUUGAAUAAAUUUGUAUUAUGAGUUGCAUGACAGAGCUAAGACAUAUAAGCUCAGAGGUAGAAAGUUAUGUCUUAAAAGUGACAUGUUUGUCAAUUUGACAAGGAAUGGAGUUGUAAUAGUUAAUUUUGAUUGACAUCACAGGAUCAAGAAUCACCUUGCAAACAAUACAGUUGCCAUAGCUGUGAAGGAUUAUUAUGGAGUCUGUGGGCAUCCCAUUCCAUGGACAUAGGGCACAGACAACAGAAAAAGGAGAAAAUUAGCUGAAUACCAGCCUUCCUGCUUUUUAUUUCCUGAGUGUGAAUACAAUAUGACUAGCUUCAGGUGCUGUGACUUCUCCACAGUUAUGGGCUCUACUCUUGAACUAUGAGCCAGAAUACAGCCCCCCCUCCUUUAGGUUACUUGUCUCAGGCAUUUUGUCACUGCAAAAGGACAAAUAACUUCUUUGUGUCUCUGUCUACUUCUCCCAAACAAUUGUUUAUUGAUGAACCCAUACUCUUUUUUUAAAAAAAGUUUUCAAACUAUAUUUUUCAAAUUGCCUAAAGGAAAAUAUUUCAAUCAGGUUUGACUAGAAGAAAUAUUGGCUUUAGGAAACUCUCAAUAUCUUUUUUUGUCUUUUUAUAAUAUGAGAAGAAAUUGAUGAUCAAUGCUUAGAUCCUUUAUGAUUCUAAAAUGUAAAAAUCUGAUUUUGUUUGCUUCACAGUUAUUAUCUACGUGAUGUUCCCAAGAGAAAUCUCCUUUGGUUGCUACCUAGUUAUUCAGUGGUAUAGUUGAAUAAGGAAGGAAGAAUAGGUAUAUUAUCCUUUAUCCAUUUUAUUAGUUUUCAAAAUUCUAAGUUAGAUGUUAACUAAUAGCUUACAUGCUCACUUUUUUAUAUCAUUGGUCUUAAAAUUUUAACCAUUUAUGGUAUUUUCAACUCAUUCAUUUCUAUUAAUGAUAAGCAUUUCUAUUCGACUUUGUAAAUCUUUUAGAUUGACUGCUGAGAUCUUUGACAAUAAUCUUAGCAGUUCUGGACAAUUUCCUGAAUGUAUAGUAUGGCAAUACAAGCUGGAGCCAUUGCUGCUCCAGGCCUGGAAUCAACUACUUCUUCAAAGUCCCCAGAUUCCUAUUAGUGGGAAAUAUGCUGGUGCUAAGAAUAAGAAGUAUGAAUAGACUGCUCAUUUGUUUAAUUAUUUUGAAUUUGCUUUAAUUAUUAUAUUAUGUCUUGCUAAGGGAUACACUAAAAUUAGUAUUUAAAGUAAUUUUGAACAAUCUCUAUUAUCAAAUAAAUACCAUUAUUUUUCAACAUUUAUUUUCAAUUGUUGCAAUUGCUUUAAAAUCACUUUAUAUUUUGUGAAUUUGGAAACAAGAUAUUCAAAGAAGUUUAUGUUAUUUUGCAUGUCUUUUUAUUCUUUAUUUUUAAAAGAAGCUAUUACUUUCAGUUUCCAGUUUUAUUUUUUUCCACUUUGCAAAAAGAUAGUUAACUAUGCAUCUAAAAUAUUAGAGAUAUGUUUAAGAUAUUGGAUGUGUAAUUAGAUAUUUGUCUCAUAGAUUUCAUUUCUGAGGUGACUGGUGGCAAUCUUUGUACAAGUUUCUUCACCUUGCUUUCUAUUUAUUAAUUUCAUUUAAGCACAUAUCUUGAUUAUAACUACACAUUUGCAUACAGAGAUCCUCUUCAUUUUAUUUGAGAGUUGCAUAGCAUCCUGGGUGUAGCCAUAGAUUAUAUAACUAGCCCUAUCAAAGGAUAUUGGGGUUUUUUCAAAGUAAUAAUCUAACAGUAAUUAACUUUCUACAAAUGAGUUUUUUGUCAGGGUUUCUUUGGGGAAAAUCUUCAAAGAAACUGCUGCCAGAACAUAAUGUAUAAAUAAUUUCUCUAGAUAAUAACAAAUUACCUGCUAUAGACAUUGUGUGUUAUGCAUUCAUAUAGGCAAUAUGUGACAGUCUGUUGCCAUUUAGGCUAUUGUAAAAGUUUCAGAAUCUAAAAGCAUUCAAAUUGAACAAAAAUGAUAUGUUUAUAAAAUAUAGCAUGGUAAAAAUUGAUUUUUUUUCUGAUCAGAAUGGAAAAGUAAACAAUUUUGGAGGUGAUCAGCUUCUCCCUCAUGACCUCAAGAAUUUUGUUUAGCUCACCUAUAGGGAAUUAAAACAUAUGCACAUACAGGUGUGUAUAUAAACAGUGUCAUAAACAUAAUCUUUUUUAAAGACUGCUGGGGAACCUAUAUGGGACCUAACCCUGCCCUGUGCAUGUGGGCAACAGUUUUGUAGCCUGGUCUGUUUGUGAGAUUCCUAGCAGUGGGACCAGGGUCUAUCCCUCGGCAUGAGCUGGCUUUUUGAAGCCCUUUGCAUAUGGUCGAAGCCUUGCUCAGCCUUGAUGGGGGGCGGGGUUGGUCAUGGUUCAACUAAAUAUGCCAGGCUUUGUUGACUCCCCAUGGGAGGCCUUACCCUAUCUGAGGAGUGAAUGGGAAUAGGCUGAGGGGAGAGGAGGGGAAGGGAGAAGAAGGGAGGGAAAGACAGCUGUCUUCUCAGGUGAUAAUUGUAUCUCAAACUUCUAAAACCUGUGAGCUUAUUAUUGGUUUCAUGAGACAGGAUCUUUCUAUGUAGUCCUGGUAGCCACCAACUCUUGAUCCUCCUGUCUUUACCUGCAAACUACUGGUACUACAGUGGCAUACUACCAUAUCCAGCCUGAGCUUAUAUUGCUUAAGCCAAGGCUUCAUAAAGGAAUGUUUGAAUAGGUAAUGAUUUAGUGGAUGUCGUCACUUAAAUAAUCUUCUUAGGAAAGGAAAAGAUGCUCAAAGGCAAACAAACAUCUACAUUAUAUGAAUGUUAUUGCUAUUAAAAUAAUGAGCAUAGUUAUAAAAUAUUAUUCAUAAAGAUAACAAAUAAUUAAAUAAUAAAAUAACCUGGACAGAAACUGUCUGGAUUGUAUUAUUGAAUACUAAGUUGUAUACAGAAGGAAAGAAGCAGAGAGACUUAAAUUUCUAGUCUUGUUGGUAGAUGAUUAGCAGGCCUUUAAAUCUACUAUUUUCUGUAAUAGUGGAAUAAAAACGCAGAGAAAAUGUAAAUGUAAUCAAAUAAUGCAAACUGAAAAACACAAGGUUUAAGCCACUUGAGAUAAAAAUAUUAAAAUCAUAAAUAAGACAUUUUAAAAGAGAAAUUAAACAAGAAAAGUAAAAGAACACCCAAAGUCAAAGAACGAGAGAAGGUUCUCUUGUUACUUGCAUCCAGCACAUCGGAAAGAAACGGGAUUUAUAGGACAAGAUUAAAAGGAACAAAUGACAUUAGGAAUAGUGCAUGGCCGUCAUGUUUUUUGGACUCUUAACUUUGAAAACUUAAUGGUGUUCCAAGACAAUCUUCUCAUGUAUUUAGCCUUUCCAGUGUAGUAACUAGAGCAUGAUUUCUGCUUGAGUCCCCUGUGGCUAAUACAUAAAUAUAAGGCUAAGAAAAUCUGACUAAACUCCUUGGUGCCAGACCAGGGGUCAGGAGUGAGGAAGGACAAAGGGGCUCCAAGAAGAAUGUUUCCUUACCACACUAGACAGAAACAUCAUCUGAGAUCUUGGCUCUGGGAUAAGUCAAUGUAGACUGCAAUCCUUGGUGUAGAAAUGCCAUUAAUAUCAAAUGCCAAUGAAUUCUUAAUCACUGCUGCUCAUAAAAAUGAUUAUCCUUUUUGGUAUUGGUGACACUGUCUAUUCCCUCUUAUCUUUCUUAUGGUUGUGGUUGUGUACAUUAUCUGAAAUCUUAGACCUUUAGUCUUCUCCAUUUCUCUCAAAAGGACUUAAAGGAAACAGAAACUAAGUUUCUAGUCUCAUUGAUGGGAGAUUAGCAGGGUUUUAUGUAGUUGGACUUCUUUGUUGGGACCAUUGGCUACCCAAUAAUGACACAGAGACUUAUUAACUAUGAAAGCUCAGCCAAUAGCUUAGGCUUGGUUUUAGUUAGCUCCUAUAACUUACAUUAUUCCAUUUCUAUUAACCUAUGUGCUUCCUUAAGGCUUGUUUACCUCAUCUAUGUAUUUCUGUCCUGCUUUCCUGCCUUCUCUGUGUCUCCUUAUGGCUCUGCCCUUCUUCUUCCCAGCUUCCUUUGUGCCUGGGAAUCCUGCCUGGUUAUUGGCCAUUUAGCUUUUUAUUAAACCACUCAGAGUGACACUUCUUUACAGUGUAUAAAACAUUAUUCCACAACAGUUUUAAAUAUGCUUCAUAGUAUAAUAGAGAAAUAAAAAACUAAAGCACAGGUAAAAAGCUAAUGUAAUCAAACAAUAUGGAUGGAAGCAACACAGUUUCACCCACUUGUUCUGGCUCUAUCUUUUUCCUAGUGAGAAAUGCUAUCCCUUCCAAGGAUAAACAGUAAGAUGCUGUCUUGGAAGAAAGUGGUAAUUCUCAUCAGGCAAGGAACCUGCUGGCUUUUUCAUUUUGGAUGCUCUAGUUCCCAGAAAUAAGAGAAACUAUGAUUUUGCUCUUUAUAAAUUAUCCAGUAUGGGACAUUCUGCCAUCAUAGCACAAGCUGAGUAGGACAAUUGCUGUUUGUUUAUGGGGAAAUUUCUAUUAAGAUGUUAAAAAGAUAAAAUAAAAUCCUGAAAUGAGGAGCCAGAAACUUCUAGAUUUGAAUUUGGGGGAAUAUUCAUGGGCAUUAGAGACAUUUUAGGAUGCGGAUGGUUUGACAAAUGAGGCAGGUCCAUCAUGUAUAAAAAUCUUAACUGUGAUCCUGGCCAGCAUUAAGAGAUCCAAUUUGACUGUGGCAAGGGAUUUGGUUAGUAUUGUUAUUCUAUAAUUAAUAUUUCCAAUAAUUCUUCUUCAGAGUUUUAGUCAGAGACAAGUAGAUUAUGUAAAUAACAUCUCAGGAGCAAAUUAGUGAGAGGGAAGAUAGGGAGGGGGAGGAAGAAAGAGAAAGAACAAACAGGCAAGUGAUGCUCUGAUGAAACUCACUCAUUAUAAAGGGUGAAGAUGGCAGAAAAGCAGGUAAGCUUCCAAACUGUUCCACUAUAUUAUAGAGAAGUCACUGAUUAGUCAGAUAGGAAGCUCUGUUGGAUAAACUGUUUGAUCCCCAUUCCUAAAUAAAUUUUCUGCAAAACUAUCAUAAACUUGUAACUUCACACAAGCUCCUCUAAGCCUGUGAAGCUCAGCCUGAUCAAAGAACUCAAUACUUAUGACUGUUUUCUAACCACUGACAGCAUCUCCAAUGUUAUGAAUUAUUCAUGAAUAUGCAUAUGGUUAGUACGGCUUUUGUGUCACUCCCCACUGCCACUUAAUUUCUUUAAUUUCAACACUAUGAUGAUUUAGAAAUAGAAUAGAGCUCAUAAAAGCAUGCUAUUAAUUAUUUGAAUUAUGUAAAAGUGAAGAAUAUUAGAAAAAUAAUAGGGCAAAUAUUCAUGAACUUCAUUCAAGUUGAAAGAAGUGAAUGCCUUGCUAAUAAUUUAGAAUACAAAACAGUGCGCACACCCUAAUGCCCUUCCUAUAGUCUUUCAGACAACAUCUUUUAAGUCAGUUCUUACCUUAGGGUUUUGUCUUAUAUCCUGCAGAGAGCACAAAUACGACGUCCUCAUGAAAAUGCACAUACUUCACAAAUACACGCCUGGAGCUUCCAGCUUGUCCCGUCUUCUUCGCUCAAAUGGUUUGUCAUAACUAUAAACAAACAAAACUGUUCCUCUCUUUUCCCUCCAGAGGUUUGGUUCAUUCAUUAUAGCUAGACUAUAGUAUUGCAUUACAUAAAUAAAUAAUAGUUACCUAUAUUCUUCUAACCAAGAAACGUAGUAUUUCUCACUUUCACUAUUGCUAACAGUGCUGCCAUUAAAUGCUUAGGAUUUAUCUCCUUGUAGGAGAAUGGGGCGACCACUGCCCAUCUCAGAAGCAAGUAUUCUCCAAAAGGGAAGUGUUUUGUGGGUGCUAUUGAGCAGUAAGUGGAGGACUCCAGUGGCUGGUGGAGUUCUUUGUCUUUAGGCUAGCCAGAGGUUUUCUUUUAUAAGCACAUCUGUAGGCUGGUACUUUGUCUGUGUAUCUUUGGAAAUCAACCUUGGUCCUACAUCCUGUGUACCUCACACUAAUUUUGAAAAAAAAAUUACAGUGAUAUUUAAAAAAGGAGGCAAUAUUGUAAUCACUUACUUAUUCAAUUUAGAAUGCCAUGUGAAAGACAGCUGUAGAUAAGAUGCAGGAGGAAAGUGGGCUUCAAAACAGGAGAAGUGAUUUUCUCCUGGUAAAGCAUGGCUAUUUUUACAGUGUAUUUUUAUUCUCUCUUUAAUUAUCUUUAAUCUGCUCUGUUAUGCUAUAGCUGCUCAGAAGACAGGGAUCUCUGGCUGAAUGUAAACAUGGCAUUUUGAUCCACAAAGAGGUUAUAAAAUUGAUGUGCAGCCAAUGUUUUCUCACUCAGAAAAGAGAUAUACUAGCGUCCUUUCUCUGUCAAUCAAAAUGGUCCUGCUAGUUACCUAGGCAGGAGAAUGCCCUAUUAAGAAAGCUGUCUACUCUAGGGACUUUAAGAAAUAGCACAAAGGCCAUUCUGCAUGUGAGUUGGAGCAAUGGGUUCUUUGGUUGUUGCCUGCUCUCAGCCUUGAGAGUCUGCAUUACCUUUUAAUACACUCCACCCAUCUUCUACAUCUUAGUCUGUGUGUCUGAAUUCUCUUGACGGAGGAGAGUACAUGAACUUGAGAGCAAAGGGGAGACCAGAGUGAGAUCCCAGAGAUGCUAUGUCAAUUUGGCAAGGUCCUAAGUAGACUGCUCCUGGUGCCCAUUUCAGUAUCCAUCUGAACAUUAAAACACAAAUUUAUGGAGGAUGGUACCCCUGUUGUCCCCUUGACAUCUUCUGUCUCAUUUCACACUCAUAUAAUAUUGAUUUUUAUGUCCUCUUGAUGUUCAUAAUCUAAGGGCCCCUAUUCCACCUUCAAGUUAAGCUAUGUGUGGAAAAUGCUGUUGCAUUAUCCCAUCUUUUAUAAAUAGAAGCCUUUUAAAUGUAAUUUUGUACUUUGCCUUUUAUACUUGUUAUUUAAAAAGAAAAGAAAGACAAGGAGAAAUUUCUCUUUACAAAGCUGCUGUAAACCAGCAAACUAAUAGCUUUAGAGACUCGAGAAGUAUUUUUGCAUACAAAUUAGGAGCCAUUUUAUUGUUUUCAUUUGAUGAAAUAGAUUGUUAGGUUUAUUUUCUGUUUGGUUUGAGUUAAAGGAUAUACGGGAAGAGGAAAAAAAGAUGCAAUGAUUUAAGGAACAGUGCAAGCCAAGAGAAGCACCUCAUAAUCUAGCAUUAUCAAUGCCUCAAAUCAGUGAAGAUCACCUAUUUCUAUAUACAGGAAGAAAAUACUUUUAAAGCAACUUAAACCUCAGUGCUUGAAGCUAUGAGGCAGCAGUAAGCUGCCCAGAGCUAACUUGUUUAUGCCAAGCUCCUUCUGCUAGCAACCUUCAAAAUAGGGAAAGGUCUGCAGUCACCACAGCGUUUGAAACACCAUCCAGCUCCACAAGGCACAAUCCUUUGUCCUUUACUGAAUUCAGAGCCCAGAUGUCUCUUUGAUAUAGGGUGAAAUACCUAGCGAUAUUGGAAAGGGAAAAGUGUGAUUAAGAGUGGAAUCAAGGGUUUUGAUUACAGCAGGCAUUUUAACACCUUUACUGUUGCAGAAUUUCAAGCUGGUGUCUAUGAGGCUAUACUGAAAUUGAUGUGAAAAUUUUACACUGCUUGAUGAAAUUUUCACCAAAUGGCCUUUUCUGUAAAAGUCAGAGAAGUCAUUUUGUGACGCACUAGCAAGCAUCAUUAGUGGGGACGGUGGCGGAGGCCUGAGAGUUUAAUGCAUUCUGGGAAACUACCACUUGGCAAAGUCUCUUUGUGGUUGUUUUAUAGUGUGGAGCUUCACUCUGCAAUAAAAAUAAAACCAAAUUCAUUUGGGCUAGGUCUUUUUGUUGCUUUAUUUAAUUUUCACUUUGGCGUUUGGCCCUUAAAGCUUUAACAGGGCAGAUGUGGCUUUGGAAGGGCUUACUAAUUCAACUGGGUUAAUGGCUUCCACGACAGAGGCCAGCUCAGCAGUUUAGCCUCAUUCUGUCUUUGGUUCUCCUUCCUCUUUGAUUUUCCCUCUGGUGGAAAACUUUCCACGGGGCAACCUAUUAUCAGUAGAUGUUUAUUUGACUUUUGAGGUAACUGCCUUAAACUUUCUGGUCUGCAGAGGCACAGACAGAACCGAUGCCGCUAAACCAGCUCUUAAAGCCCUGGGAAAGAGAAGAAGGGUGUUUGCCAUUGCAAGUCCUUUCAUGGUCUGCAGAACCAUGCCCACAGCUUGAUGUGCAACACAGAUUCAGCAGUGUUUGGAAAACCCCAAAUGAGUUAGAAUUUGUGGUGUUCCCGGGUCAGUGCAGGUUUGUGGAAAGAAGAGUGGAAUUGGUAUUGGAAAGUUGAUUCUUUAAUUCCCAGGACUGAAGAACGCUCUAAAACUCCCUGAGUCUAAUUCCUAACAGUGUUUAACAGUUAUAUUUAUGAUGUUAUGGGAGGAUUUCAUUUUAGAAACUAUAGUUAUACACAUAAAAACUAAGAGAUUAAGGAAAAUGUGUGCUCCCCCCCUCUCUCUCUCCCUCCCACCCUCUCUCUCUCUCUCUUUCUCUCUCUCUCUCUCUCUCUCUGUGUGUGUGUGUGUGUGUGUGUGUGUGUGUGUGUGUGUGUGUGUGUGUGCACCCUGGUGCAUGGGCAGAGGUCAGCCUGUUUUCAUUGUUUGAGAUAGAGUCUCUCUCAGUCUCUGUCUCUGUCUCUGUCUCUGUCUGUGUCUCUGUCUCUCUCUCUCUGUCUCUCUCUGUCUAUCUCUGUCUCUCUCUCUCUCUCUCUCUCUCUCUCUUUUAGUAUAUACCACUGCAUAGAUGUAUCUGGGUGGCCCGCUUCCAGGGAUUCACCUGUCUUCUCCUUCCAUCUUAAUGUAGGUGUGCCAGGACCACAGAUGUGCACCACUAUGACUAGAUUUUACAUGGGUUCUGGGGUUUUGAACUCAGGCCUAUACUUACACUUUUGUGGCAAGUGCUCAACUCUUUGAGCCCAACUCAUGAGGGAUUCUAAUUAUAUUAUUUUCAUCAUUGAUUAAGCAUGUUUUAGCCAUCGAUUUCCCAUUUCUUCAAAUGCACACUACUUUAGCUUUAUCCAAUGCAAUAUCUAUAAAACCUCAAUGCAUCAGUCAUGUUUUUAUUACGCAUUAAAAUAAAUGUAGGACUAUCCCUCAAACAUUGUGAACAAUGAUAUUAUACUCAGGGAGGCUGACCACAGUAGCUUUAGUUGUGUUCAUCUAUAAUUCCCAUCUGCUACAACAGGAACGUUUAUCCAAUUAGCUUUCUGAUGUUCUUGUUACAUAGUGAAAUGUUUGGCACAUGGAAAAGGAGAUCCAAAUCAUCAGAAAAUUGCCCUGAAUGCAUUUCUUGUUUACUUGGGAAAAGUAUCAAGUGGAGAAAAUACUCCUUCCUCUUGAGGAGUGCCUGCAUCAAAGCUCUGCAUCCCACACAGCAGGGCUUCCUUCCCUAGCAGUCAACCAGACUUCCCGAGAGCUUUCCCAGAUUACUGCAGAAACAUCUAGGGUCAACCAUUUUCUGCAUGAUUCCCCAGUACUCUCUAUUAGAACCAAUCUUCAUAUUUGCCAAGAAUUCCUUACUCCCUUCCUUUUGCUCUCUACAUCACAUGCAGACACACACACAAGCGCGCGCGCACGCGCGCGCGCACACACACACACACACACACACACACACACACACACACACACCACAUACCACCAUACACACACACAUACACAUAAAACAGACACAGCACACAACACACACACACACACACACACACACACACCACAUACCACCAUACACACACACAUACACAUAAAACAGACACAGCACACAACACACACACACACACACACACACACACACACACACACACACACGGAUUAUUUACCUCUUCCUGAAAACUUCAUCGUUAUUUAAUAUUGUUCAAGUCCUGAGAUGGUUGAAAACAGCAUGGCCCUGUGCUGUCUCAGAAUCCUAGAUUUGGAUGUAAGUUCCUCAGGAUACAUGCUAUAAAAUUGUGAAUAUCCUCAAACUUUCUGUGGUAACCCAGGACACAGAUACUAUAGGCACAUGAAUUCUCAUAUCAGUUAAACAACAACAACAGAACCUCUCUGAGUUCAGAACACAUCUGUACACAGUGACUAGCUCACAGUAUACACAGUCAAUGAUGCCUGGCACCAUGGCGAAUGGGCAAACAAAGACUCAAAGCCAGUGAAAGAAUAAACAGCUGGAAAAAAUUCCAAAGAUGUUGUUUUCUGUUUAAUAGAGUGAAAAGCCAGUAAAGAACAUAAAAUAAUAACUACAAUUACAUUGACUGAAACCUAUAGGGAAGGAGUUAUUCUAGAGUAUCAAAUUUCCUGGACAGGAGAAACUUUGAAGCAUCUAUUUACUUUUGUGCAAAUUCUUCCUAAAAUGGUAUUUUACUUUUGCAGUUUGUUACAUUGAGCAGAUUGUGAGUAAUUUAACCUUGUCUUAAAUACUUAAUAAUAAAAACAGCAUCUUACAAAAUAAUUAAAAUGAUAUGGAGAUCUAGACAUUUCAGGAGCUUCCUUUGAGUAAUUUUCGACCAUGCUGUGAAAGUCAUGUUUGUAACUGAGAGGGGUCCAUACAGGAAGGAGCCUUGGCAACAUUCUCUGUUUCCAUCAUUUUACAAUGUUUCUCUUGCAUGGUGAUUGUUCCAGAGACACAUUGUUGGAAAAGUAAUGUCACUUGUUAAGGAACCACACAGUUAUUCUGGUAUUUACAUGCUAGCUUUAAUACUUGACUCGUCCACUUGGCAUGUGUUUGCAGAAGAAUAUAUACCAAUUGUGCUCAGAUUUGAAAUAUUUCCACAUUCUUCUAAGGGACUGCAUCAGUCACAGAUGUAGGACUUAAGUAGUAAAUGUUUGUUGACCACAGUGAUGGCAGGCAUCCCACACUCUUAACUUUUACAUCAGUUCACUUGUCCAGUCACUAUUGUAACUGUGCGAAGGGCUAAGCCUCACUUCAAUGUUUUAUAUAUGAAAAAUGAGGCAAACUAGUUUGGCAACACUGAUGAUAGAAGAGGUGUGUGGCCUUCGCUUGCUCUUUGAAUAGUUUAAUUUUUGUUUUUAAUUAUAUGUAUGUGGUACAGAUGGUAGAGGCCAGAAAUAUCCAGGCAGGCAAGAGGAGUUGGAUUACCCCUGGGGCUGGGGGUGGUUGUGAACUGCCCAGUGUGGGUGCUGGGAAUCAAACUCAGUUCCUGUGGAAGAGCAGUCCACACUGUUAACCAUGGAGUCACCUCUGCAGCCCCGUCUUCCUCUUUCAUGGCACCCUUUUGUCUUCUCUGUACAGAUAUGAUCAUCUUUGGCUCUGCUGUCUGUUGUACAUUCUUGGUGACAAGUCUUACUUUACACUGGACACCUAUUCUCUUAGUUAUUGAUUUUAAUGUAUCCUUUGAAGACAGGAGUGUAAGAAUGAAAACUAAGAAGUUGGUAUGAGACUGGUAGAUAAGGCUUUCUGAUUUCAAAUUUCAGCAUGGCAGAAAGUAAUUAGCAUUCCCCUCUUGGGGACUUUUCUCCUUUGGCAAGCCCCACACUCAUGGCAAAGUUACCAUGAGUUUCCUCUCUUUCUUCCCCACUCCCAAGUCCCCGCUACAUUCAGGGCAGCCAGGGAAAUCAGUUCUAUUUACCUUAUUAGAUAGAGCCACUCACCUCUCUCUUUUCAUCUACUUUUACUUUGAAUUACUUGCAUAUCUAAAGAGAAUUUCCAGGCAUCCUCCUAAAAAAUGAGCUGUCUCUUCUAGACCAUGGAAAGGCAACUACUGCUAAUUUUUGUUUCUUUGUUUUCAAUACUGAUGCAUUUUCUUCUUACAGCAUCUAUUAAUGGUAAACUAAAAAAAUCUUGAAACAUAUUGUAAUAUGAAUUCUGGCACUGACACAUAAUAUUGGAGAUUGUUGUGUUUGUAGGAAAACAUUCACUUACUAUUAAUGAUCAAAGCAGAUUACAGAUUACACACAAGACUGCCUGCAGUUUGAUCCUCUCUUCCUCUCCACUCUUCUGCCCCACCCCCUUCUACUUUCUCACUUCUCCAACAGAAGAAUUCAGGAAGACUCUUGUAGAAAUUGUCUAUUAGUUAUUCCAUAACUAAGUAAUCCCUGUCAGGACCUAUUGUAACAUGCAUGGUCAUUUACUUUUGUUCAAAUACUCUUAGCCACUGAUAGGCUCUAGCCUUUGUUAAUGGCUAAUAAUGACUAAGGGCUUACUGUGUGCCAAACAUGGUACUGUGCGAGACACAGGUAUUAAAUUAUUUAAACUCAUUAAGAAUAACCCAAUGAGACAUGUACCCAAUGAGGCCCAACACUACUUACCCUACUUCUUUUAUAGUUGAAUAUACUGAAGCACAGAGAAACAUUUUGUUCAAUUCAUAGAAAGGUAGACUUGUAUCCACAGUCUUAUCAUUUGUGUCCCCUUCUUUCUGACAUUUCUUCCUACUUUGGUUGGCUGUGCUUCAACAGUCCUUUAGUGUCUUUAAUGUGUGCUCAUGUUUUUAUUUACAUAGAAUGGGGAUACUUAGAACUAAUAUAAUUUUACUUAUGAAAUCAAUAUCAUAAAUGUUAUGUACAAUGUUAAAUACCUUCUGAUCAAAGGCAUGUUUAUAAUAACUCUUUUGGUCUUCAUGUAUAGAAAGGAAAUAUCUUUUCGUCUCAGUUAAAGCCCUCAUGGUUUCACACAGGUAGGUGGCUCUUUUCAGUUGCUGAAUAGCAGGAAAUCUGAAUAUCAUGUAUUUGCUAAAGUGGCUAUGAUCUUCAUGCUGUUAACUAGUCAACCAUUCACUUGUCUUCAGAAGAACUCAGAGACAAGAGGUUCUAUUGUAUAUCUGGUGCCUCCAAUGAUAAAGACAGGGAGUCCCCAGGCCUAUAAACAAUAUAUUUUAGUUGGAAUGCUCUUUUUAUUUACAUAGGAAGAGUUUAUAAGUAAAGGUGGGGAUCCUGGGCAGCUUAGUGAUAGUCACAACAGAUUUCACGGUAGCAGACCACUUUAUUUCCAGAUAAUUCAGACAGGUCCUGGACAGGCUUCUAGGAAGUUGCUGCCUCCAGUCAUUUGCUUCCUGGAGGGAGCAGGGGGUGGACCAGCUGGCAGGAGAACAGUGGGGCUGGUAGAAUAUUGUUGUGGGGUUGUUUUCAUCCUUUUCCAAUCUUUGCAUGGCUGGAUAGGAGUUUCUCUCUUGCUGAGUGCAGGCCAUAAGUGUAUUACAACAUCAGUUCCCCAUAAGGGCUGGACUAUUUAUAUCUACUUCCACACACUUUAGUAAUCAAUUUCCCUCAAGUUUCCUUCUUAAUAUUUUUCUUUUAACCUCAAAAGAAAAGAUCAAAGGUAGCUGCCCAAUGUGACAAUGCUCUAAAGAGGGGAAAAUGACACCGAGUUCCAGCUGAUAAGACUAGAAGUGUUGUUUCUCUGUGGUUUCCAAAGCAAAAUAAAUGGUAAGGAUUCAACACAGAGCUCCUGGACAAAGAGCUCACUUGCCUGUAAGUUGGUUUCCCCUGCACACUGAGAUGUGCAGAUGGCUCGGGAGCAAAUGCUUUUGUGUGGAAUUCAAUAUCUGAUCUUUCUGGUGGCUUAAUGUGUAUUUCUGCUCUUCUCACUUCCCUCUGUUCCCUCACCUCUUGACACAAACAAUUAGAGCUGUUCUGUUAGUGCACGUGUAACACAUCAAUGCAAGAACAUCAUAGAAAGCUCUCGGGCAUUUCUGGGGCAUUCUCUACACAACAUCUGCCUACACUAUGGCAGGAGCCCGUCCUUUAGGUGUCAGAGUGGCUCUUCUCAGGCCCUUUGACAGCUCUUCUUUUGUUAUUACAGUAUGUCAACCUGGAUUUGCUCUGUCACACAAAUGCGCCAUCAGUAGCUUGGUGUUUUGACAGUUUUAGUUGUUUCUCCUUGUAGCAUAUUGUCACACACACUGGAAAGAAGAAAUAUAGUUUGCUAAAUAUAAAUCCCCCUGGAUAAGGGGAGAACUAGCUCCUGGGCAAAAAGCUAUCAAGUAUUUUUGUGUUGUUUUGUUUCUUGUUGAGUCAUGUUGUUUGGUUUCAUAGAUGAUGAUACUGUUUUAAUAUGUAGUCAAAUAGCAGGCACAUAAAUAUUUCUGGCGUAUCAAAUGCAAGUCCUUUCAUUUUGUAUAGUUACUGAGAAAAACAAGGAUAUGCCAGAGUUACUGAGGGAAUGUAGCAGGGAACAUCCAUGAUGGAAUUGCAGGUUCUUUGUAUCUUGACAACGAGCAGAGCAGGAAACAGAGGGACAGCUGUGAAAGCACAGAUUCAUUAAAUGUAAGAGUUCGGGGCACACAGAGGAAAGGGGAAGUGGAAAAUGUAAGUGUUGUGGAAUAUUAGUGUAAGAUGUGUCUGGGAGUUUUACCGUUCUUUAUUCUAUAUAUCUUUCUUUCCUUCUUACUCUGUGGCUAGUCUUGGGCCUGGAUGGCUUGCUCCUGGCAUCUCCCUCUCCUUUUCUUUUCUCACUCCUACCCUUUUCUGGAUUUCUCCUUCUAUUUACCUUACAGAGUUAAACCAAUGCAACAGAAAAGAAUGCAACACGUCAUUGCAUCAUUAAACAAAUGUUCCACAGCAUAAAUGAUUAUAACACAUCUUAAACUAAUAUUCUACAACAUGUAAUUAUAUUAUAAUCUUAAAAAAUAGUAAAAAAGAAUGAGACUGGGGCAAACAAUUCAUUCCACGGAUUAGAACUGACUGGGUUGGGGCAAGCAUGCAGCUCUAGAUCCCUAGUUCACAAAUCCUGGUUUUUCUUCACAGCAUGGAGAGUGGGCCUUGUCAAAGCAGUAGACUUCUCUUGGAUGACCAGUUUCUUUGAUGGUUAGAUGGGGUUGUAUAAUCUUCUCUCCUCCUCCCUCCCUCCUUCCCUCCCUUCCUCCCUCCCUCAUUCUCUCUCUCUCUCUCUCUCUCUCUCUCUCUCUCUCUCUCUCUCUCUCUCUCUGUAUGUGUGUGUGUAUGUGUGUAGGUGUGUGUUUGAUGCAUGUUAGAGUUUAGGAAACCUCAGGUGUUGUUCUCACCUACUUUGCUUUGAGACAAUGUAUCUCCUUGUUCCUUACUGUUUAUGUAAAUGAGACUAAUUGGCCAGUGAGCUUGCAGGCAUUCUGCUGUCUCCACUUCCCAUCUCAUCAUAGGAGUGCGAUUAUUACAGAUGCAUUCUACUGUGUUCAGCUUGACGUGAGUUCUGGGCAUCUCAACUCAGCUCUUCACAUUUGCUUGGCAAGUGGUUUUAUUCACUGAGACAUCGCCACAGCUCAGUCUGUACAAUCCUUGGGAUAGCCUUGACAGUUCUACUUUCCUUGUUACUGGGUCCAGAGCUAACUUUCUUAUGGCUCACAUUUCUGUAUGCCUGGCCCUAUCUUACUAUAUCAGCAAUACCAACCUCACAGCAAUUGGAAUUACAUAGGUUUUGCUUUAUCAAAAGGACUCUGUGUGUGGCUAUGUAUGCUCCCCUAGAGUCUGUGACUUGGAAAAGGUUGACUGGAUGCCAGCAUAGACAUUCCUCUACAUACUCAAGUAAUAAGCUCCCUUGGAGAUAUCUGGGCUCCAGCACUGACUUAAAGGGAUACAAUGAACUGUUUAAAAAUAAAUAGGUCUCUGCUGUCCAGCUCAGUUGGUGGAGAGUGUAACUCUUCAAUGUCCUUUGACUCUAUUCUAAUUCCCAAUAGGAACAAUAGAUUACAGUGUGUAAGCUCACAGUACAUUUUCUCCAUUUCAAUCCUCAUAAAUUCCUAUUUUAUAUCUUCUGUUUAGAUUACUUUUUUUAUUUGAUCAGACAUUUGAACAGACAAGCUAUGGUGUUUUGAAUUAAAAAUAUCUCCUUUAAGCUCAUGCAUUUGAAUACUUGGUCUCCAGCUGGUGGUGCUGUUUGGGAAGGUCAUGGUAGAUAUUUAGGAGAUGGAACUUUCUGGGGAGCAGCAUCCACCCAUUUUCUCUAAUGGUCCCUUGGGUUUGGAAUGUCUUAUGAUCUCUUGGGUAUUUUCAACAUCCCUAUCCUUCAAUGACCAAUUUAGAUGUCAUUCUCACAUUUGCUCUAUUCAAUAGACAACUACCUGUCCUCUCUCUUAAUCCACAGAGCUCUUGUGACCCUAGUGUUUCCCUUAUUUUUCCUUGUAUUCCAGCUAGUUGACUGUCUCUUGCAAUGAUUAAAUUCUUCAAGUACAGGGCACAUUUCUUCUAUUCUCCUAUUUGCACAUGGUAGGUGUUCAGUAACUGAAUGCAUGAAUAAAAGACCUUUAGAAAGACCUCAGCACUGUGAGCUCCUGAGAUCCUUCAUGGGCACCAGGCAUGGCUACCUUACGGUGAGGAGCCUGACAGCCUUGAGUCUGAAUAAGUCAUCUUCUAGUGACUCAGCGUUUCUGGGUGAUAAAUCAUCUGAAGGAGCUGAGCCUGAAAACAAAUUUUCUCUCUAAUGAUUGGUGUUGUUCUUAGGCUUUAAGAAUUUAUUCAAGAGGAAUUUGAGUAUCCCCAUUAUAAACUGCAUACAUAUUAUAAAUGUAAAAACAAGAGCAUUAACAUAGAAAUGAAUCAAUAAAACCAAAAUAAUAAAGUGAGAAAAGAAAGCCAGAAAGAUGACCUUACUUGCCUCACUGGGUGUGAGCCUAGCCUUUAACAGCUGUGUCAUCUCUCCAACCCAUGAUUAGCUUACUUGAAGCAAGCCCCUACAUUCAUCGUAAAGGGCACAUUGAAAACCUUUGUGUCCUGUGUCUCUGAUAUAAUUAAACUAGAGGUUAUUAAAGCAAUUCAUGGGGGAAGAGAUGUAUUCAUUAGCACAUCACAUAAACACUAAUAGGACCAGCUACAUUUUUAUAGGACCUGUACAGAAACAAAUAUUGAGAUCUCUACUAAGUAUUUCCAGUGUAGCUAUUUUGAGCAGCUGUGUAAGAACAUAGGGUUUCUUCCAUGUGUCUGCUUGGUCUAGAGUUGAUAGCAUUGCAUUUUGGUGGAAAGGAAUCCAUCAUUUAGCAAAAGUCUGUGACUCAUGGGAGCUCAACAAUCUGUGGAUGGUCACCUCUAGCUGGGUGCAUUUCACCUUUGUUUCUGUGUAAAUACUGCACGAGGAAAGGAGCAGGUUACAGAGAAAAGCUAUGACUUGCAAGCAGCUGAUUGCUCACAGAAACCAGAUUUCCUUACCUCUGUUUAGUCCUAAUGAGUUUAAUUAAAAGGCAGGAGGAAGUGGAGGGUAUUUAUGAGGGGCAAGUGGAUUUUGGCAAACUGAAGGGCAGAUAGUGGGCCCAGAAUAGAAGGUCAGACUCAGAGAUGUCUUUUCUCUCUCGCUUGAGUAUGUCAAAGUAUCAUCUCUUUACUUACCACCUCUGUCUUCCUUUUCACCCAGGAGCCAUGUAUUUCACCAGAGGCAUGGGUACACUUAUUCCAUUUAGAUGUUCUCAGAUGUCCAGCAACCUCUCUGGGGUCUUUAGGAACAUUAGUUCUGGCCUCACUCCAGAGAGAGUCAGGUUAGUCCACCUUGUGUCAGCAUCUACCCUGAUAGAGUCAAUACUGGGAAGGGUAUGGGUUAUAGCAGUUUAGUGCUGAACAGGGUUUUAAAGGUCAAAUGGCCAAUUUGAAGAAAAUAGACAUAUAUUUUUGGUAAGUGGAUACUAUGUAGAAGCUGGAACAUAAUGGGAACAUUCAACAAUCAGCUCCUAGUUCUUGUUCUGCUUUUGAAGGGCAUAUUGCACACUUCCAUUAGGUUAUGUUUGAUCAUAUGUACCCAGAAGGAAUGAAGCUCACUAAGUCUUAUAAUAGGUAAGAGUGUUCAGAAAUCUAUGAAGAUGGCAAAAAUGCAAGUAAUCACCCCUAUAGUAAUUUCUGUGAACUGUCAUCUUGACAAUGGUAGUGUCUGGGAAUAACAAUUAGUGGUCUAUUAUUAGUUGCCACUGUUUGUGGUGGACUUGAGACUGUAUUCAUCCUCCAGCUAUGACACUAUUCAGGUACCCAUCUUUUUUUAAAUUAAUAUAUCUAGUAGAAGACACAGAUAAAACCAACUCUCUUUCAGUUAUCUAACAGGAGGACAGUUGUAAAAGUAGCAACUAAUAGCAGCCAUUUCUUUUUACCACAUGUCUCUAUAAGGCUGGUCAGCAGGAAGACUCCUGCCUUCUUUUGUUAUACUGGCUCCCUCCUUUUUAUCUAUCCACACGGUGGGGGAAGCUCAUAGGGGUGGGAACACUUGUUCAGCCUUUUCAAUAUUCUUGCAGGAUAAUGUAGAGUGCUAGACUCUGCUGUCAUAGCACCCUGACUCCCAAUCAGAACAGAGGUAAACUCUCUCUCUCUCUCUCUCUCUCUCUCUCUCUCUCUCUCUCUUAUGCUUGGGCUCUAAAAAAGGGUCCAAACUUGCUGGACAUGUGUCUUCCUCUACUGAGCUACCUCCUUAGUUCCUUUCUACUUAGGAAAUAUAAACCUUUAAGGGCCAUGUUUAAUAUGAGCUGUCAGACCUUCCUAUGGGAAGCACUUUGAGAUUUCACUCUACAAUUUUCUUCUUUUCUGUGGUUUUUUAAGUGAUUUAAAAAAUUAAUAUGCUAUAACUUUAUUACACUUUGGUUCUUAUGACAGGAAUAUCAAUGUAAUAGUGGUGGUACAUGUUCUAACAGUUGUACAAAGCGAAGCUUACCACCAUGUACUCUGAGUCAUUAAUGAAAGGCUUGGUACCAAGUGAGCUUCAGUGGAGCUGGAAGGAAAGGUGCCAGGCAUAAAACAGCUGCCUCAAAGCAAACUGGGUAUUAUGUCCAUCUGAGAACCUAAUAGAUAUGUAUUUUCCUUUUUUAUUUCUAUUGCCAUGGGAAAUAAAAUGCCUUUUGCUGUUUUAUUUCCUCCUUAAUUCCAUAUCUUCCAAGCAACUGCGUGACAGGAACCUUUUCAUACUUUUCUCUCAAAUUCCCUUAGCUGAAAACAUUGCAGGUGUUCAAUAAAUGCUCAUGCUUUGCUUGAUCUGAACAAAUAAAUACUGAUACUUGUAAGAAAUGGCCCUGGGUUUUUAAUCAUGCUUACUGAUGCUCAGUGUCAUGCAGACUUCAUAGGAUGCAGUUUCUUUCUUCCUUGUUCCCUUUCCCUUGUAAGUGCUUUGAGUAGCACAGGUGGCCAGUGUGGGCUAGCAGUCAGAAAUCCACCGGGUUGAGAGGGCAGUCAGGCUAAACCAAAACCUGUACAGGGUCAGGGAGAAGCAAAGACUAAGAGCAUUUAUUGAACACCUGCAAUGUUUGUGUAGGAUGCCAGAGUCUGAACUGGAUGAGGAGGCUGUCCUUGUGUAUGUUGGAGAUGGAUAAGUGAAGAUAGUGAAGCAGUAUUGAGGCAGAUUCCCAGCUAACUCUUGGGCACUUGGAUGUGAAAUGGGCAAUGACACAGAUUGGAUAUUGGCUAGAGCUAGAGGAGUUGAUGAUGUAAAUAAACACAAUAAAGAAAUAGGAGUCAGUUUCUUACUAUAAGUCAUGGACUGUAAGGAUAGCAAGAAAGCUACACAACUGUUGCAAACACACAGUUGUAGCUUGGUUCUCUCAUGUGACUCCUAAGAAUCAGAUCAGGAACUGUCUCUGACUCUUUUACCGGGUUUUGGGACCUGCUUCUCAUACUGGGUCACCUUGCCUGGUCUUAAUAUAUGGGGUGCUUAGUCUUACUGGAACUUGAUAUGCCAUGUUUUGUUGAUACUCAUGGGAGACCUGCCAUUUCCUAAACAGAAAUGGAAGAGGAGUGUAUUGGGGGUGGGAGUAGGGGGUAAUCUUUACAAAAUAAAAAAGAGAAGAGCAAGCAAGAAAAAAAGUUGAACUCUAUAGACUGCACUAAGUGGUACUGAUGCAAAUAAAUGCUACAGAUUGAUAGAAAGUUGUGUGCAUAAAUACAGUGUUUAUGUAUAAAUGCCCUCAUCUGUCUCUAAAAUGUGAGAAAUAUUGUUUGUAGAACCCAGACAGCCUCUAAAAAAUUAGAUCAUGUCUAAUAAGCAUCUUAAAAUUGUAAAGAGAAUUCAGAUCUUAGAGUGAUUCUAUCCAAACCCUUCCCCAAAUCAAGGUAAAUCUGUACAUCAAAAUACUAAUUUUAAUAGAUAGCCCACUGAUGAAAUAGGAAGCUAUGCAUGCAUGAUGAUGUAAUUAUAUAAAUUAAGAAAAUACAAUGCAUAAUACUUAAAUACUUGAAGAUUCUUUUUCAUAAAAAUAGCUACCAAGACAAUUUUAGAAAAAUUCAGCAAACCCAAAUUUAAUCAUAUAAACAGCAUGAAUAUCAUCAGUGGGACAAAUUUAAAAUGUCCUAUUUGCUAAGUCAGGUAAAUUCAAACUGACUAUAAAAUAUUCUAUACAAUAGCUGUCAUGUAAUGGUCAAAGUGUUAAGAUUCUUAAAGUUGAGAAAAAGUGACUUGCAUCCUAAGGAACCUAGGUCCAUGGAUGUAGCAAGUGGAUAAGGAUGUGGCUAUGACUGCUGAAAAAACCUGGGUGGUCUCUAGAGGGUAGAUGAGUUCAGAUUAGUGUUUCCUUCCUGAUGCCGAUGCUUACAGUGUGGUUAUAGAAAAGUAUGUUCUUGUCAAUUUGUACAUAAUCAUGAUCUGUCAUUGACAAGACCUGAUGCCAAAAAGUUCUCCAAUGGCCCAGGCAAAGAAUGUUGUAACUGACUUUCCAAGGUUUCUGUAAGUUUGUGGUUGUCUCCAAAAAAAACAAACCCCAGAAAACAAACAAAACAAAGCAAAACCCCUAAAAACUCCUGACUUCACUGUAGGAAAACAUCAACUUCUCAUAAAAGUCAGAAGUUAUUCUCACUGCAAGUGCUGUCAUUAUAACUUUUUAAAAAGAGGUACUCUCUUGUACAAUCUUAAAAGAACAAAUUAAAAUGGCAGGAAUGUCCUUUGAGUUAAUCAACUGUCACUGUGCCUUUUGACAUUUCUUUGGAAGCACAACUUUGUGCUUGUGCACUAUUUUAUUUAUUUAUUUAUUUAUUUAUUUAUUUAUUUAUUUAUUUAUUUAUGAUUUGAGACAAUCUUGCUAUGUAGCAAAAUCAGUCCUGGAACCUACCUUCAGUGAUCUCCUGCCUGUAACUUCCCACAUCUGAAGAGUGUAAGCAAGCACAUGUGAGUGGAACUUUGAGACCAAGGGAAGGAUGCGAAUGUAGUCCUCUACUUUCACAAAUUAUGCAGUUGAGUUUCCUGCAUUUUGGGACAUUUCAGGGGUCAGCACGUCCAGGAGUGCAAUAGAUGAGCCAUAGCCUGAGAAAACCACCUUCAUGGUCAUGAUUAUUUCCCCUUCCAGCAUUGAUCUACACUGUGUCCUGCCAGGAAUGUUCCACCUUCAAAUGAUCAUCCUCACAAGACUUAUGAACAGCUUUUUAUUUGUGUUUUAAAAAGUUAUUCAACGGCAAUUAUUUUAUAACUGCUCCAUUUGAACUGGCCAUGUGAACAUUCCUAACCUCUGAUCACCCCACCAGCUUCAUCCAGAUGGCUAUGGCAUCCCAUCUUGUUGGAAGCUGUUUUUUCUUUCUUCCUCCCCAGACUCCACCGCAUCGCUCUGCACUUGACACUUUAAUUUUCUACAAAUUCUGGUGAAUAAUCCAGUGAAUUUGGUAUAACUCAUGUAGCUGAUGUACUGUGCUUACAUAAUUCACUUUAUUUUUCUUACUUACAUAUUUCAGAAGGGGAUUUUCAAGGAUUAUUAAAACUCAUAGUAUCCAUCUUAUAGAGGUUUAAUAUCCAAAGUUUACAAAACUCAAAAAGCAAAGAAUCGAAACAACAAAAGUAACCAAUCCCCCCAAAUGGCCCAUCCAAAAAAAAAUGACUGAAUACUUAAAAGAAGAAAUAUUAGGGAAAUGUAAAUGAAAACAACUUUGAGAUUUCAUCUUACCCCAGUCAGAAUGGCAAAGAUAAAUGGAACCACUAACAACAAAUGCUGGGAAGAAUGUGAGUGAAAAGGAACCCUCAUUCACUAUGAGUAGAAUUACAAACUGGUACAGCCAUGAUGGAAAUCAGUGUAGAGAAUUAUCGAGAUAAUAAAUCUACCACAUGACAUAGAUAUAUCACUACUUGGCAUAUAUCCAAAGAAAUUAAUAUCCUACUACGUAGAUACUUGUUUAGCCUUGUUCACUCUUUAUUCACAAUAGCUAUGAAAUGGAAACAACUUAAAUGUCCUACAAAAUACAAAUAAAUAAUGAAAAUGUGGUACAUAUACAUGAUGCAAUGCUAUUCAGUAGUAAAGAAAGAUGAAACCAUGAACUUUGUAGCUAAAUGGGUAAAAAUGGAAAAAAUUGAAUUGCGUGAAAUAACCAAGACCCGGAAAGAUAAAGACUGCAUGUUCUUUCUUACUGGAGGCUCCUAGCUCUUCAGAUGUGAAUGCAUAGCCUGCAGUAACUAUAGAAACCAGAAAGUAAAAUGGGGCGGUUGCUAGGAUAGAGAGGUUGGGGAACAAUAGGAAGGGCAAUAUCAGCGUGC
ensembl:lncRNA